rnacentral:misc_RNA from 1 species
GGAUCAUUAUUGAAUUUGAAGAGGGAUCGCUUUCGAGCAUCCUUCGACUCUUUUCUCAUGAUUUACACACCUGUGAACCGUUGCCGAGUCCGCUCGGUGGCAACCUUUACACACACACGUAACAGUAUAGAAAGUAUAAACUAUAAAACAAAAACAACUUUUGACAACGGAUCUCUUGGUUCUCCCAUCGAUGAAGAACGCAGCGAAAUGCGAUAAGUAAUGUGAAUUGCAGAAUUCAGUGAAUCAUCGAAUCUUUGAACGCACCUUGCGCUCCUUGGUAUUCCUUGGAGCAUGCCUGUUUGAGUGUCUUGAAAUUCUCUGUUCCUUUGUUUUUGUUCAUUCGAAAGCGAAGCGAAUCAGGUCCCUGGGCCUGCUUGUGGUUACACAAGCUUGCCUUAAAUACAGUAGCUGGGCUUCAGCAGAGUUGUUAAGUAACAUUGAAAACUCUCGUAAAACGGAGCCUGCUCUCUAAUCGCCGUCACUGGCACCAUUUUUCUAUUUGGCCUCAAAUCAGGUAGGACUA